UUUAAAUGUUUAAGAAUCUCAGGAAUAAACUCGAAAAUUCAUCAAAGGACCAAAUGGAUAAAAGAUCGAGACGCUUGGAAGACUUGUGAUCAUAGGAAACUAAUGUAAGAUGAAUGCAUGAGUGCACUUAGGAUUUUCACUCGUUUCAUGCAUCUUUGAAAACUCGGUUUAUUCUUUAAAAUGUCGAUUUCAUUAAAACCCAAGUUUUUAACUAAUGUACCUUAGGCAAAAUGUUU
rnacentral:lncRNA from 1 species